rnacentral:rRNA from 1 species
UUGACCUCAAAUCAGGUAGGACUACGCCGCUGA